AUUUUUUUGGUUUCUAGAUUUUUCUAUUUUCUCUCUCUCGCCUACGUGCGAUUCUUCUUCAUCUCCUUCUCUAUUUUUUUGGUUAAAAAUCUCAUAUUAAUCCUUAGUUUUAGUUUUAACCUUUGUAGAUGGCCUUGCUACAGUAAUUUGAGGCCUUGUUUUAGUCUCUUUGGUUUUUUCAAUUGUGAAAUGGAGUGUUUAAGGUUAAGUGGUUGAAGGAUUGGUUAUGGUUUUGGAGAUCCAUGUGAUUGAUGAACAAAACCUAUGUUUUUUGAGUGGUUGAUUUACACUAUACUCUCUUGGAAGGUUAUUUUUCACUAGAGGAACGGGUUCAAUUCCUGAGCCCCCUAGAUUAGACAAUUUUCGGCUGAACUGGGUCAACAAUCUUGUGUUUUUUACGUUUUAUAGUUUUUUUUUUUAUUUCUUGGGCAUUUUGGUGUUUAUUAAUAAGUGUUUUCAUCAAGAAAAACCCAACACUUUUCUUAUUCUACAAGUAGAAUAUUUGAUUGUCUCUGAUGAAUGAUUUGCUACCAUUCUCUAUGUUUAGGAGUGGUGUGUUUCACCUUUUACGGCUUUAUUGUGCCAUGGUACUCCAGUGUCCAACCUAUUAUUUCUAAAAAUAGUUAUGUUGGAUGAUGUUGUUCUCUUUGAUACCUUAUUCAUCUGUUUGUCCUUCAUAUUAAGGGAGUAUCUGUGGAGUGGGUUAUGAUCUUGCCAAUUAUUACAGAACUAAGGGGUUCCACCUCUGAGUAUUCUUUCAUUUGCAAAUACAUUGUUCUAAUGAAAAAUGAAGAUUGUUCUAAUGAAAAAUGAAGAUACAUGUCCAAUUACUGUCGACUUUGCUUCCUGAACAUAUCUUAUUUUUGACCGAUUUCCUCUUCCAUUCUCUUUGGAUCUUAGCUUACAAAUUUGGGAUAUUGAUUGUUUUCCGGUUGUUAUGACUAUAGUUUGGGAAGAAAAUUCAUCCUAAGUGUGUUGUUUCUCACCUGACGAAUAAUUUCUUGUUUCUUGCUUAGUCGAUGAAUUUAUUGAGGUUUGAUUAUUACAAAUUCCUUCAUUAGUACAAAUUGAGGUUUUUUAUUACAAAAUCCAUAAAUCGUUAGAAAUUUCUAGCUACUCCUUGGUUGCUCAUUUUAGAUCAUGCUAGGUAUGGGAUCACAUAAGUGGAAACCUUAAGAAGGAUCUUCAAUAUCAGGCUCAUGUAAGUUGUGUGUUCUUCUAAUUUUCAUUCUCUUUCCCCGUCUUAGUUAUUUUAAUUUGUUAAACCUAUUCUAUUGUGCUUGCAUGAUAUAACUCUGGAUCUGUGAGGCUUAAAUUACUUAAUAAUAUGGUGUUAUAAUGCAACAAAUUGGAUAAAAAAUAGUUUAUUAAGGAAGUGAUUUUCGAUGUUUUAUCAUCAUUGUAUCAAGAGAAUUGCCAUUCACAGUUAACUAAAUAUAAGUUGGCACUAAAUGGUUGACAUGUAGGGCUUGAAACAAACUGCAAUAUGUUGAAUUCUUAGUUCUAAUGGAUCUUUUUCUUACCUCUCCUUUUUCUUAUUUGUUCAUUACCCCUUUAGAGGGGCUAAGUUAUUUAUUUUUCUUUAAUCAUAUAAAUGGAUGAGAUAAUAGAUACACAUCUUCUUGUCUGUUGCAUUUGUUGUUUUCCAGAUUGGCAAAUUAAUUAUUACUAACAUGUCCACAUGGUUCAUGACUUACAGCAUUAACUAUUUUCAAUUUAAUUCUCAACUCAUAAAAUGUUAGUCUUUUUUGGUCGAUGGUCAUUGUAUUAUGAAUACUUAGUGUCAUUGUUUUGUUCUUCAUGAGUUUACAGUUAAAUGUAUUAUGUUUUUGUAAUGAUUGAAUCAUUUUAUGGUUAGGAAUAUUGGAUACAAUUUCGUGAAAUCACAAUUGUGACUUUCUUGUUUGUGAUGCAGGAAGUUCUGAAUCAACUGAGGUCGAGAUGUCAGAUUGCAUGUUGAGAUACCAUGAGAUGGCGGAUUGGCGCAAAGAUGGAAAGUGAUUGCAACACUUUCCUUAAUUGGGGCAAUUUCGAAACGUUUUUGGUAAUUUGGUCAUAACUUUGGCUACGGUUAUCAGAAUAGCUAUUAUAAUCCCAAUUCGAAAAGCUCUUUUCAGUACACACGUUGUUGUCAAGCCAUACUCAAUGGGCAUUAAUUUCGAGGCCAAAAUUUGUUGUUCUCCCGUUCAAAUUUCAAUUUUUAGUUAUUUUUUUCAUUUAUUAUAAUAUUUCGUUUGAUUUUUUCUAGUUGAUUUCAAAUCUGAUUUGAGCCAAAUUUUUGGCAAGUUCCUUCUUUUAUUCCAUAUUUUAUUUUGGUGUGGUUUUCGGGAUUUUGCCAUUUUUGGUAAAAUUUCCAUAAUUUCAUAUUUUUUAGCUAUUUAACCCGACUUGUGAUUAAUUUUCGUAUUCUGCAUUUUAAUAAAGUUAAGUUGAAUUUCAGAAAAUUCUCUCUAUUUCUUGGGCUUUUUCCAUCGUAUUCUUCCUGUGAAUUAUCUAUUGCAACUAGCCUGCAGGAUAAUCACUAUCUCACCCGACGUCAGUUUGUAACAUGGCAGGUAAACUUUUAUGAUGCACAAUGAUGUUGUCUUCUCAGUUGAUUUUAGUAGAGACUCUGAGAUGCUUGCAUCUGGAUCACAAGAUGGAAAAAUAAAGGUUAAGCUUGCUUUCAUUUUCUGCUUUAAUGUGAUUAUUCUCAUGUUGCUUUGUCUUCUAAUUUCCCUAACAUCUAAAAAGAGUUAAAAAAAAGAAGCAUCUAGACUUAUUCAACACAAAAUAACUUAAAGAAGUUAGAGAAUAUUACUUUAUGGUGAGAUAUUAUCCUCCAAAGAAUAUUUUUGGUAUAGCCGGGGAGUAUCAUGACAUCCAUUCUAAUUUGUUGCAAGGUUUUGAAGGACCCUCUAGUGGCUUGUAUUAUACAAUUUGAAAUUCACAAUUGUAAAUCUAUUUAGUAGAUGUUGUUCUCAUCUGUUUGGUUAUAGGUUUAGCGUAUUAGGACAGGUUAAUGCUAACACCGACUGGAACAUGCUCAUUCCCAGGGUGUCAUGAGCCUUGUCUUUUCACGAGAUGGAAGUCGGUUGUUAAGUACAGCAUUUGACAGCACAGCAAGGUUUGAACUCUUAGAGAUGGCUUUUGAAUUGAGCUAUAGUAUCCCCUUAAUCUCAUGCCCUCCACCACCCAAGGAAAAAAAAAAUCAGAAAAGGAUAAGAAGGAUUGUAGAUUCUUGAAAAGGUUCUCAUGAUCCUUACUUUUCUUAUAUUAUACAGAAUUCACGGAUUAAGUCAGGCAAGAUGUUGAAGGAAUUUCAUGGCCAUAUAUCUUAUGUUAACGAUGCCAUCUUUACAAGUGAUGGCUCUCUCGUCAUCUUUGUAUCAAGUGAUUGCACAAUGAAAGUAAGUUAACCUAGCUAUCUAUUAUUAAUUGAGGCCAAAUUUUUCAAGUUUGCUAAUCAUCUACAUGCUGAAUAAAACGAAUGGCAUCUAUAGGUUUAGGAUGUGAAAACUACAGACUGUCUGCAGACCUUUAAGCUGCUACCUCUAGGGAUGGCAAUUUGAACCGUUAAAAUCGAAAAUCGCGGUUAAACGAACCGAAUGGGGUAAAAAAAACCAAACUGAUGGUGCAAUGGGGCGGAUAUGGUAUUUGAUUUUAAGAAACUGGUUCGUGGCAGUGCGAAUAUGGUAUUUAUGCCGUCGAACCGAAAUCGAAUCGAUUAUCCGCUUAAAAAAUCAUUCUUUUAUUAGGUAUGGCAAGGUUUAGUGAGGAGGAAGUUGACAAAAAGGUACAUUUUUAUUUAAAUUUUAGUUAAAACCAUUCUUGAUUAGGUAGAAUCGUUAUAUUCUCUACUUAUAUUUCUUAUUUACUAUAUAGGAAUCAAUUUUGAGUGCUGACCUAUGCUAGUAAGCGUUGUGGGAAAGAAUGAAAAUUGAAUAUGAGUUAAGGUUGAAGCUUUUGAAUUAUUAAGCACGAAUCAAGUAACUACAAUGCAUAAGAAUCAAGAAUGAAGGAAAAGUUUAAUAUUGUUAUAUUCAUAAUAUUGUUUGUUAAAUUUGUAUUUUGCAAUUGAAAUUUGGGAUAAUGUUUGCAUUUUCGUUUGGAAUAUUGUGUUUUUGUUUUCAUUGACUCUCUUUUCAUAAAUUGUUUUAUAUCAAUUUGACGAAUGGACCUAUAAAGAAUAAUUUAUUUUCGUGGUUAUUAACCGAACCGAACCGAGCCAAAUCGAGAUACGAACCGAACCAAACCGCUUUAUGUGGUUAUGGUGCGGUUAUGGUAUGGCAAAAAAUUUGACGGUUCAGUGAUGUUUUAGGCCAAACCGAAUCGAAACCGAACCGUUGCAAUCCCUAGCUACCUCCUCUUAGGGUAAUUGCCUUAUUAGCAUUCUAAGUGAUUGCAAUUUGAAUAUGUUUCCUAAAUUUUCAUUUUGUUUUCUCCAACUUUUUCAUUCUAAUUUACAUUUGAAUUUCUUAACCUAAUUGCUACUUUUGUCUAUGUUAUCUACAGGGUAGUGAUGCAUGAAGGCCUAGGCAUGGUUCAAGUUGGGUUGGCUUGAGUCCAACCUAAAACGGAAAUAGGAAUCGACUUGAUCAUUUUGGAUAAAUUUCAACCCAAAUCGACCAAAUCCAGUCCUUGAAACUGAGACAAACCAAACCAAAUCUAUUUGGAUCGAUUUGAUUCGGUUAAUCGAUUUGGCAUUUGUGUGAGUAAAAAAAUUGUCUACCUAUAUUAAGUUUAAAAAAUUCGUUUUUUUAUACAUAUAAUUUUUUUUCGUGUGUAAUGCAUAUCAAUAAUAUAUAGGGAUGGAAAAUUGGCUCGGGCUGCCCGUGGCUCGGCCUAUAAAAAGCUCCGGGCUGUGCCUUUGUAAAGGAUGCAUGUUGCCUUCGUAAAGGAAAAAAAAAAAGAGAAAAAACGAGUUGGCUCGGGUCGAGCCUCAAUUUUUUGGCCAAGCUUUUGCUUGACUCGGCUCAGGCCAAAAAAAAGCUCGAGCCGAGCUUUUGACUAUUAUUUCACUAUUUCAGCCAUCAUUUUUUACUUCUUCACUCAUAGAUGGGACCCACUUUUCUCUCUAUUGGUCAAAAAAAUAAUUCUCAUAAUCACUGCUGAACAGAUCCAUAAUGUAAAUAGUAAAGAAUCAAUUUUUUUCAAAAUAAUCAUAUACAUAAAUCCAAUAGUUACCAACGAACAAUUACACCAAAAUGAAAGCAAAGCUACACUCUAAAUUCGAAGUUUACAUCAAACACUUCAUAUUCUUCUUCUUUUUCUUUUGAUAUUUAGAGUUUUGGUAAAAAAAUAUAGACGGUAAACAAAUUAUUGAGACAAAA
rnacentral:lncRNA from 1 species